CAAACAGCUCAGUAACACGUGGCUAAUCUGCCCUUAGGACGCGAACAACCCCGGGAAACUGGGGCUAAUUCCCAAUAGGCGAAGAACUCUGGAAUGAGUCUUCACCAGAAAAGACUCCUGCAUUAUGCUUGUAGGUUUCGCCCAAGGAUGGGGCCGCGACCGAUCAGGUUGUUGGUGAGGUAAUGGCUCACCAAGCCUUUUACCGGUGCGGGCCGUGAGAGCGGGAGCCCGGAGAUGGGCACUGAGACAAGGGCCCAGGCCCUACGGGGCGCAGCAGUCGCGAAAACUUUGCAAUACACGCAAGUGUGACAGGGCUAUCCCGAGUGCCAUCCGCUGAGGAAGGCUUUUACCCAGUCUAGAACGCUGGGGGAAUAAGGAGAGGGCAAGUCUGGUGUCAGCCGCCGCGGUAAUACCAGCUCUUCGAGUGGUGUGGAUGUUUAUUGGGCCUAAAGCAUCCGUAGCUGGCCAAGUUAGUCCUUUGUUAAAUCCACCGAAUUAAUCGUUGGAUUGCGGGGGAUACUGCUUGGCUAGGGGACGAGAGAGGCAGACGGUAUUUUCGGGGUAGGGGUGAAAUCCUAUAAUCCCGGGAAGACCACCAGUGGCGAAGGCUGUCUGCUAGAACGCGCCCGACGGUGAGGGAUGAAAGCUGGGGGAGCGAACC
rnacentral:rRNA from 1 species